rnacentral:sRNA from 1 species
AAAACUGUUACCUCGCCACAAUCUCGUAACAAAAACCGGGGCUUACGGUAACGAAGCCCCG